AUGUAGAAGGAGAUUUCAAUAUCACAGAAAACCCGAAAAGGCAGAGAGUUCCUCCCUCUCAUGAAAACUAGCUGGAGGCUAGAUUUACUGCAAGUGAGCUGAAAACCAAUACGAUGGUUUGAGUUUUUCGAGCAGCUGAGCAGCAGGUUUGCUUCCAAGAGUUCCUUGCUGGAUCUAGGAAAAUAUGUUUCAACCAACAAGCAACCAGGAAUGGUCAACAAGAAAACUGAAUACGCUUGAUAUGAAGAUUUUCAUUCUGUCACAUAUAUGCAUUUCCACCAAUUGAAUAUAAUUACCUCGUCUUUGAAAUGUUUUUUGUAGCGAACAAGUUGUAGCCAGUUCCCAUAAUCAGUGAUGCUGAGAGGCCAAUCGUGUGAAAGGAAAAUAUCCAUCAGUUCCUCUAGGUGCAUAAGCUUGUGAACAUCGUAUUCCCGGACAUGAUACACAGACCUGAUAGUAUUGUCAUUAUAAGGUGGCCUUUCAUGGUGUCCUGCUCAAGGAAACGCUAAUUCAUUUCAGUUUCAAAGCUUCGACUCUCCACCCUAAAUAAGAAUCAAUAUACAUAUCUGGCACUCGCUUGCAGUAAAUAAACAAUCACCAUUAAAAGAACUCCAGAAUAAACAUAGAAUAGACAAGUAAAAGAACUUCAUACCGAACCUAAACAAUAAUUACGCGCAUUGUAAAUUCCGGAAAGUCCACCGAUACGGAUAUUGCCAACCUUCACAACCACAGCAUACCCCAAGAAGUAUAUAUUAGGUGCUGCCCAUCCCCCAUAAUACCUAAAGUUCACACAUUUCAAUCGCAGAAGGUAAAAUUCAAGGCCUUUUCAUAAAAGAAUCAAAAUCCCCAAGCUAGAACAUAUGAAGAAAAGGGGGUGACUUACAAUUCCCAUAAAUAAUUGGAAGCUUCAUGAUUUUUGCACCUGCAAAACAGAUAAUGACACUAAAAAUUCUGAACCGGGACAGGAAAUGAUGGGAAUAUUCUAGGAAUAGCUUAUUCCGAAACAGGAUAUGAUGGGGAUAUCCGUGAGGCAGAAUACGAAUGAAAACUAACUAGAACAAGACACUAGAAAAAUCUGUUCCGAUGCAAAGCUAAGCCCAACAACACAGUACUUACUAAAACGUUGUUCUGAAAAUAUUUAAAAACUCGGUAUGUUUUAAUUAGUGUUUAAGCAAAGAUUUAAAAGAAAUAGAAAAUAACACAAAAGCUAUAAUAUUAACCAGAGGGAAACAAACAAUCCAAAAAUAAAGAACAUAUAGUAGACGAUAAACAAACAAAAAUGAAGAACAAGACCGACAUCUAUAGAUCUGAAAGACGGAACGAGACAGUGAUUUCUAAAGCUGAAAAUCAAAAACCCUAAGAAAAACCAACUGAAAUACAAGUAUAAAAGAAUGGAGCUGAAACUAAAAAAGAGAUUAAUACCUGAAAUGAGUCUCCGUUGAAGCAGAGAAUUUCAAAAAUCACAAAAACCAGAAACGCCAGAGAAAACAUAGGGUUUCUCUCUCACGAAAACUCUCUUCCUACAAUAGCAUGUGUUUUUUUGGCCUGUGGAUACCCAAAGCUAAAAAAGAAUGACAGGAAAACUUCGAAAAGAGACCGAGAGUGAGAGAGAACCGCCGAAGAAAUGGGGAGCAAUGGAUUGGAUAGAUAUAUUUGAGGAUUUAAAUUUCGAAUGAUGGGAAGGAAGCUGGCCUCAUCGGAGGUAAGACGCCGGAAAGUGUGUGGAGGCAGCGGCAGCGGUUUGUUAGAAAGGACAAUAAAGGAGGAAAAGAGAAAAAAAGAAAAAUAGUAGAAAAAUGGAGAAAAGGGAAGGGAAUUAAGGGAGAACCGAACGUGAGAGAGAUGAAUUAAGAAAGUUUUUAUAUUAUCUAUUUUGAAAACGGUUUGAAUUUUGUUUUAUGUUUUGAAAAAAUUUCGGAUAUUAAAAUAACUAAAUAACCAGUAUGUACAUAAAACUCAAUAAAACCCAAACCCAGUAAUCCAAAACUUAAGCGUCCACAGCCCCAACCACUAAAACUAAAGCCCAAAAACACCAGCCCAACCGUAAACCCAAGCCCCAAGCCUCACACCCCUAAAUCCAAAUCGGGAUAUUCUGGGAAUGAGAUAAACCAAAGCCGGGAUAUCCUUCGGCGGGAUAUCACAAAGCCGGGAUAUCCACAGAAUAGGAUAUCCCUAGUCGGAAUAAGAACGACAGGUAAUCCGGUUCAGACACGAAAAAAAUCUGAACCGGCCACCAAAACAACUAAACCGGACAAUAAAAAUGCAGAACCGGGACAGGAUAUGAGGUGAAUAUUCUAGGAAUAGCUUAUUCCGCAUCGGGAUACCAGCGGAAUAUCCCUGGCUGGAAAUAAGAACGAAAAUUAACUGGAACAAGAAAAAAAAUAGAUUUUUUUAAUUAUUUUCCGUAAUAGUAAUUCAGUCCCAGUAAUUUUCCUAAUGCCCCGAGCUUCUCUUUGACAAUACGAUACCGUCUCCGAUCUUCAUUUCAUUUCCUUUUCAUUCCAGAAUUUUUUUUUCUUUGAAAUUACAACUUAGGCCUUUUUUUUUUCUUAAAAAAACUCAGUAUGAUUCAAUUAGUUUUUUUCUUAUUCCCUCAACAAAUAUAAUGUUUUUACUAGUUGAAAAAGGGAAAACCAGGAUACGAUGUGAAUAUUCAAAAAAUAGCUUAUUCCGAAGCAGGUUAAAACAGGGAUAUCCCUGACGCAGAAAAGAACGAAAAUUAACUAGAACAAGAAAAAAAAAUAGAUUUUUUAAUUAAUUUCCUCAAUAGUCUUUCAGUCCCAGUAAUUUUCCUAAUGCCCCGAGCUUCUCUUUGACGAUACGAUACCCUCUCCGAUCUUUCAUUUCAUUUCCAUUUCAUUCCAGAUUUUUUUUUUUCUUUGAUAUUACCACUUGGGCUUUUUUUUUUAAAAAAAACUCAGUAUGAUUUAAUUAGUGUUUUCUUAUUCCCUCAACAAAUAUAAUGUUUUUACUAGUUGAAAAAGGGAAAACCAGGAGACAAUAAAAGGGAAAGAAACAAGAAAAUGUUUCCAUUUACCUUCUGCUAAUCAGUUAUGGUUUUAGGGUGGAUACCUACAUAGUUGUUAGAAACAUAUCUUCGCUAUAAAAUCUCAUAGGACUGAAAGAUUUAUAAGAAAAUGUCCUUAAAUAAGGAGGGAAACAAACAAUCGAAAAAAAUAAAACACAUAACAAGCGAUAAACUAUCACAAAAAAAAAUGAAGACAUCACAAGAUUUAAAAAGACAAAUAUAAGUAGUGUUUCAUAAGGCUGAACACCAAAACGAAUAACAAAAACACACUGAAAAAACUAAAAAAGAAGCAUAAAUCUGAAAACUAAAACAGAGAUGAAAACUUGUUCUAAAGAUGAAAACCACAACACCCACAGAAAUAAAAGAAGAUAAGCAUAGGUCUGAAACUAAAAAAGACGUGAAAAGAAAAAGUUAGUAGAAGUGAAAAUCAUACCUGAAAUUACAAUCCGAUGAAGAGUGGGAUUUCAAUAGCCUGCUGUAGCAAGUGUGUUCUUUUGGCAUGUGUUUACACAAAAUAUACAAAAGAAAUCAGGAAAAAAAAUGGAAAGAUACCCAGAUAGAAUCUGUGUAGUAAAGAAAGGGAGGAAGAGAAAAUAAAAAAACAAUAAUAAAAAGAAAAGAAAAAGAAAGUAAAAAAUCAGAAUAAAGGGAGACAGAGGAGACACAAUUUACAGGAGAAAGAAGGAUCUCUCAUCAAGGAUUUAGAGAGACGUCGGAAGCUGUUUAAUGUAUCAUUUAAUUAUCAAAAGACACUAUGAUACCUGUAGGCCUGGUCUGACCUGAACUUCGACAAUGUUAAACUCACAACAGUAAUUUUAAACCAGGCCAAAAAUAGGAUGAAAAUCUGUAAAGUGAAUACUCAGGAAUGUGUCAUAACAAAGAAUCAAUCAUAAUAGUAGGAUGAAAACUGAGUGUUUGAAUUGAUUACAACUUGUUAGAGUUAAUUUUUUUUCAAGAAAAACUUCCUUGCGAAUGUCAAAUAUCCGCUUUGCCCUCGAGUUUAAGCUGAUGGCCAAGCCAUGACUGUUGGAGCAAGCUCCCCACACUUGCUUCACUUGAAGGCAGCCUCCUCUUGCGUGGAGAGCAUGCGGUGGAAUUCCAUCAUUGACCUUCGAGUUUCCAUUUCCCAUUCACGGAUUGCAUAUUACAAGCAAUGCUUUAAAAGAAAAACUGCUUGAACAAGAUAGGAUAACUUGUUUCUAAUAUGUUACCUGUAAAGUCAGAUCUAAGAGUUUCACAUAAACGUUGCACUUGUUCCAUGCACGGUGAGAAGGAACACAGAGUUCCAUCUUGUUUCAACAUGUUUCAACCUGAAGGAAUGGCUAGCCAAGGUUGGGGUAGGUCCAGAAAUACGGAGUCAGCCAACCCAGAAAACUGAUCGGGAAAUCCCUCACCCUGAAUAUCUCGGACUCCCAUUGUGACUAAAGUGCUUAUUCCAGUCCCUCUUGAAGUCCUCUCUGUUGAAGGAGUGAAAAAUCGUCAAACAUUCCUUCUUUCGCGAACCAACACAGAAGAAUCAAAGGAAAAUAAACAACCAUAUAAUGGGAUAAAAUAUGCAUCAUAAAUGAGUCCUACGCAAGGUUCCAUAAAACCGAGAUAAUUUUGAGACUACGAAGCAUGACAGCAACAGAAUCUCGUAUUUCAAACAAUACAUCUACCUGAACAGACUUCUUAAAUCUACCUAGAAUUCAAGCUCAACCCAAGCAGUUUCUAAAAUCAUAUUUCAUAACAAUCUUUGAAACCAAAAUUUCAUACAAUGCACUCACUAAUGAAACUAAUAAAGAUUUGUAAACCGAGACAAUUAGAGACAAUGAAGUAUCACGGCAACAAAAUGUAGAUCUAUGAAGACAUCAACUCAAGAUAACCCAGUAUUCAAGUUUAACCUAAGCAAUUACUAUGUCAUAUUUCAUCACAAUGCACUUUUGCAAACAAUAAACAUUUAGGCUUACCUAGCUGAGGCAGCCCUCUGUUCAUGGAAAUCAAAGGUAUACACAUGUCCCGUUGGCACCACGGCCCUUGCAAACAAUGUUGUUAAUGAGCCACUACCGGUCCCGGAUUCAAGAACCAAACAACCCGGAACUACUUCCAAGUACAUAAUCACAAAGCUAAUAUCCGCAAUAUAAAGAAUCUGAGUCCUAUGACUUAGAACCAAAGUCCAUAACUCCGGUGUCGAAGCCAAUAGGUAAAGGAAUCCACCUCUGUUGCUGAAAAUUAUGGCACAUCAUGCUAUCUUUCUUCAGAGUGAUACCAAAAAGAAGAAAAAAUAAGUACCUAGGUAGCAUAAGAUAACAAUAUGAUCGUCACUGUAAUGGCUCUAGACAAUGAAACCCAGAUAACUAAGACUGCUAGGAGAUAAACAGUAAUUUAAUAUCUUCCUUAACAACUGAACCUUGGCCUGGUGAAAAAGGGAUUCACCAAAAACAUGCCAAUGGAAGCGUAAAAUAUAAGACUUGAACACGGGUGCCAACAUAAUAAAACAGAACGCAAUCACGGAUGACUUUGAGCAGAAAAGGAAAAAAGAAAUCAAAGAAUAAAUUCCAUGCUACCUCUAGACAAGUUCUACUAAAAAAGGAAAUUGAAAUAAAAACCUAACUGAACUCAAGCAUUACGGGACUUUGUUCCUUGACCUCCAUAAGAUGUCUCAAGCACGAAUCUAACGGUUUAUUGCAUAUCUAAUAUGCCAUAUAUUUUUCAAGUCAUGCUAUAUACUUCUUGAUUCAUUACAGACAACUUAUACAUCAGAACAUUUCAAGAUAAGAAAUCACAAAGUAAAGUUCCUCACCAAUAUCCUCCAAUGUCGAAGGUUCUGUGCCUGUACUCCUCUUAUCUCCAUUGGAUUUACCUUCAGUCCCAUCAUCCUUCUCAUAAUUGUUUGGUCUAAGAUCAGGACCAAUAUCCCUUACCCAACUUUCAGCAUAAAGCCUAGAGGCCUCCUUCAAGACCUAAAGAAAGAUGACAGGUUUUUACUACUUAUAUACUAAAAAUAAAUAAAUGCCUAUUAUUCCCUAAUGCAUAGGCAAAUAAUAGGUUCUUGAGCAUUAUUUGACAUUCAAGUGGUUAAGUUAACCAUCAAGUAAGCAGAACAGUACAUAAAAGUCAUUUGAUCAUUUCAAUAUCCCAAUGAUCUAAUUUCCACCCUGAUCACCAGCUAGCAUCUGUGAAAUUUCAAAUUUCCAUUAUGCUUCUUUAAAAUUUGUUAAAUGGAACAAAAGCAAAAAAAUAUAUAUUAUAAAAAGGAAGUGGCAAAAUCAUCAUAUUUGAGUAGAAAUUGCUAAUAGUUCAGACUUAAAGUACUUCCAAACAUACGUUCUUGAUUUAUAGUAAAAAAACCAUGCGUUUUUUUUCUUCCAAAAAAUGGCUUCAGAAUUCUAAAAUGUUUUAUUGAGAAAAUGAACAAAGAAAAAGUUUAAAGAACUAGAAUUUAUUGAGAAAUCUCUGGAAACAAACAAAUCGGGAAAAUCGAGAAGGAUUAGAGGAAGAUAGAAAGAGGAACCUUGAUGAUUCUUCGAGGGAAAUUACUAUUGGCAAUUGGCAAGCUUUGAUUGAUGAAUCAAAAAGGGAAAUCAAAAAUAUAUAAUUAGGGUUUUGAGAAUAGGGAGAUAGAGAAAAUUCAAGAAUACAAAAAACAGAGGAAAGAAGAAAGGUCCCUUUACCUUAAGGAUUUGUGUUGUUCUUUUUAUUUACCGAUAUAUGUUGUUUUUGGAGAGAAAGUAAAAACGUCAGAUGAAAACGCGCCCUAAGACAUUUUCAUUAAAAAGCCUCUUUGAUUAGGUGAUUAAAUGUUAGACCUGAUUUAUCAUUUAAUAUAACAAGUAAUUUAAAGUGGUCGCAAAACAAUUAAUUAAAAUGUUUAUAAAAAUAUUGUGAUACAAUUGGAUCAGACCUGAUCUAUCUUUUAAUAUAAAGAAUGGUUAAAAUAUAAAAUUAACUAUAAAAAUAUUAGUAAUAAUAAAUUUAAUUUUUUAAUAUUUACAUUUUUUUCAAAUAGGUCAUUAUUUAUUAUUUUUCAAAAGAGAGACUAAAGGAGAAAGAAACAUGUCAUUGAGAGAGUUUCAUUCAUUGUAAUCUUUAUGGAAAAAACAAUAUAUAUAAGUAACAUUUUCUCUUUCAUUUAUUAUUUGUUCAUGUAUCUGUCACAUUUCUUUAGAUAUGCAUUUUUUUUUUUAUUUCAGUCCUUUUAUUUUGAAAUGCAAAAAUGAUACUUAUAUGUUAAAAUAAAUAACUACUACUUCAGAAAAAGAAUAUUCGUUAAAAAAAAUAAUCUAUCCAGUUUACUUGAAACAUUAAAAUAUAUAAAUUUUACUAACAAUUGUUGAAUGUAAUAAUAUGACAAAAAACAAAAAUUCAAACUUUGAAUAUAAUAUUAUUGAAAAGGAUAAUCUCCAAUGUAAAAAAAUUUAUAAAUCGUAAAACUGAUAUAAAAAAUAAAUAAACUAUACAAAUUAAAAUUAUUUGGGAAGCUAUGUUAAGUACAUUUGGGUUUCAUUUCUUGUCAUAUUUGUAGUACCCGGCUAUCAUCCACUUAUAUUUGGAAAAAACAAUAUAUAUAAGUAACAUUUUCUCUUUCAUUUAUUAUUUGUUCAUGUAUCUGUCACAUUUCUUUAGAUAUGCAUUUUUUUUUUAUUUCAGUCCUUUUAUUUUGAAAUGCAAAAAUGAUACUUAUAUGUUAAAAUAAAUAACUACUACUUCAGAAAAAGAAUAUUCGUUAAAAAAAAUAAUCUAUCCAGUUUACUUGAAACAUUAAAAUAUAUAAAUUUUACUAACAAUUGUUGAAUGUAAUAAUAUGACAAAAAACAAAAAUUCAAACUUUGAAUAUAAUAUUAUUGAAAAGGAUAAUCUCCAAUGUAAAAAAAUUUAUAAAUCGUAAAACUGAUAUAAAAAAUAAAUAAACUAUACAAAUUAAAAUUAUUUGGGAAGCUAUGUUAAGUACAUUUGGGUUUCAUUUCUUGUCAUAUUUGUAGUACCCGGCUAUCAUCCACUUAUAUUUGAUCUUAUUUACUUCGUCUAACUCUUGUAGCUUUUAAGUGGUGUGUAAUGCUUAAACCUAAUGAUCCAGUUUUUUUAAAAAAAAUAAAACAAAUCCUAAAAUUUAAAUUACAUUUAAGUUUAUUAAAAUUAUUUUAUUUUAAAACAAUUGCUUCAAAAUUAAAUUGUUUUGGUCAAAAAUAUUUUACUAAUCUUUUUAAAAUUAAAUUCGAUCCAAAGAAAAUUUACUUUAAUUUUGACAAUUUAGAAAACAACAAUCAAAUAGAACAACACGCAUCAAAGUUAUUCCAAACAAAACCAUGAGAUUGUAGAGAGAUACCUUGGGUUGAUAUGAAUGCCCGACGUCCUCAAAAGAGAAACCUUCAUUUUCUACAUAAUUAACAAUACCAAAGCAAAAGAUGAGUAAUUUGGAUUUUUUGAAAAAUAAACCAAUAAUACGAUUCAAAUAUGAAACUUUGAAACAAAACUCUCAUUGUAAGAUCAAAAAAGGCAAGUAUACUGUGUUCUUCAUAAGAAAGAAAACAACACUUAGUUAACAUCUUCUAAUGCAACACAAUAACCACUCAUAACUACUUUGUAAUAUAAAACAACAUUUUCAGUUAAUUGCAUCCCUAAUUCCAGCCAUGCAUGCAUUUAGACAUUACCUGAAUAUUUCAAUCAAAAUCCAUUUCCAAGCCAUAUAAGCACCAGCACACAAACAAUUCCAACUAAGUUCAUCGAUGAGCUCCACUGAUGAGAGAAAGCACCUAGCAGCGUGAAAAGAAAACAAAACAUGCAUUGAUCCAUGGACAGACUAAUAUGCACCACCUUAGCACCAGAUAAAAUGCAAGACGUUUCACUCUAAAUAUGACCAUGUUCUUCUAGUUAAAAUUGAUGUUAAUUGAUCCCAAAGUCUCUUACUUUCGAUUCUAUUAGAAAACACACCACACAAACUGCAUUUUUCCUUGAAAAAAGAAAAUCAAACAGCACUUGUAUAAGGAAAGUGGCCUUAAAUACAUAUUAGCUGUAGACUAAAUGAAAACAGCCAAGUGUUCCAAGUAAUCGAAACAGCUAUUCCCUGACCUUAAAUAUAUAAAAACUGUAGAUUAAAGGAUAUCAACCUCAUUUAACACUCAAGAUUAAACUUACCAGUAAACAGAGAGUAGCAUCAAGUAGAAACUGACUUGCUUGGUGUAGAAGAAUCGACUGUCUACAACACCAUCAGUGAGACCAGACGUCACCAUGGGAUCAGCAGAUUGGACUGCAGACGGACUCGACGGGAAGCUCAUGAAUCAACUAGAACUCAAAGUACCAACCCAGAAGAACCUGAACAACUGAUACCAUGUUCAGCUAUACUGAAAACCACAAGAGUUACAGUAGUAUGAAGAUAGAGAAAACAAGAAGAUAUUUCAUUCGUAGUGUUAAUACAUGCAUUUAUAGAGAGGCUGUACAUUCUUAACAAACUAACUACUAGUUUACUGCUACUAACAACUAACCAACUUUCUUUCAAUUACUCUAACAGGCUUCCCCUAAUAUCCCUAUAUCUUGACAGUUCAGAAAAUUACAGCAUAACUUUUUCACAUUGUCAUAAUCAAAUUUCCACAUCAACCAUUAAUGAUUCGGGAAAUUUUGAAUUAAACCCAAAACACCACAAGAAGAUUGUUCAAAGAAUCAAUUUCAUGCAAUAUAAACCGAAGUCAUUAACCAAUGGCUUCAAAAGGGAAGUGGGAUCAAUUUAUUAGUUCCUUCUCCUUGGCAGGAGGCCCCCUCUUAAGUUUGGCUGCUUGUGCAAAUGUAGACGGCCUAUGAAUUAAGUAGAUUUCUUCAUCAUGCAGUUCUGACUGCUAAUCAUAUUAAAAAGAAAUCUAUGUUACUUAAAUCACUUACCGCAAGAAGGAGGAGUAUCCCUGGAGUCCGAUGCAUUAUCAAGAACAUAAGGAAGAUCUAGUAAUUCCAAGAAAGAUACAAUCUGAGGAUUACGGGGAGAACCUACACAAGGUGAGAAAAUUUUAAUAAUUAAAAAAGAAAUCGAGCAAAAACAAAUUGCAAAAGUCAUGAUUAUUCUAGUUGCAAAUCUAAAUAAAAAAGAAUGCAUUCGCUAACCAACAAUUAAUUGAGCAAAAAGAAGACAAAAAAUGAAGGAUAGUGGUUCAUAACCACUAUGACAGUAAUAUCGAGAUGCCUAACCAUUAUAGUGAUUAAUGGUAUAAAUAUGCAAACAUAUAUGGUAAGUUUCUUAAAUCCAAAAGAUAGAACCAUUAAUUGAGAUACUAUUAGCACCUCAAAAAAGGAAAAGCAUCAAAAUAUCACCAUAUUAUUUACCAGAAAAAGUAGUGUUUGAAACUGAAUCCGAGGGUUUGUGAGGUGGAGCUGUUUGAAAAAAUUCACAAGGUUUGGCUCCUCUGUCUUCCAUCCUGCUCUUAACCCAUUGACGACAAUCUUGCAUGUCGAGCUUUGUUCUCCUACAUAUUAGAACAGCAGUUGUUGGCUCACAAGUUCUUGUAGAGUAAUAGUAGUACUUGCAAAAAUAGAAAAUUGCACAUUUUCAAAUAAAACAUUAGUCCACCCCACCCGAGAGAGAGAGAGUGAGAUGAGUGGCAUGGUCAAAACAAAAAUGUCAUACAUACACACACCCAACGUCUCCACGUCGGAAGGUCAAAGGAAAGACACAGUUCAAUUUCCGUGUUAUUGCCAGCCAUUCUUCAUAGUACUGAACCUCAUAAGGUCCUAGAUCAGAUCAAUAUCAACAAUCUAAAAGAUCAGAGAAAGCCAGAAUUCAUUUAUUAGCUUCCAGCAAAGACCAAAAGAAAGAAUCUAAAUGAUCAGAUCAAUAUCAACAAUCUAAAAGAUCAGAGAAAGCCAGAAUCCAUUUAUCAGCUUCCAGCAAAGACCAAAAGAAAGAACCUAAAUGAAAUGGUCAGAACAUAUGAUAGAUACCUGCAAGAACUUGCGCCCUGGAAGGCAUUUAUCGAGUGCAAGAAAUUUUGUCACUCGACCACCCUCUUCAUGUUCAACAAGAGCGGUGAAUUUGCAGUGCAAGUGAGCUGCAAACCAAUACAAUGGUCUGAGUUUUUCGAGCAGCUGAGCAGCAGGUUUGCUUCCAAGAGUUCCUUGCUGGAUCUAGGAAAUAUGUUUCAACCAACAAGCAACCAGGAAUGGUCAACAAGAAAACUGAAUACGCUUGAUAUGAAGAUUUUCAUUCUAUCACAUAUGUCCAUUUCCACCAAUUGAAUAUAAUUACCUCAUCUUUGAAAUGUUUUUUUGUAGCAAACAAGUUGUUGCCAGUUCCCAUAAUCAAUGAUGCUGAGCGGCCAAUCGUGUGAAAGGAAAAUAUCAAUCAGUUCCUCUAGGUGCAUUAGCUUGUGAACAUCGUACACCCGAACAUGAUACACAGACCUGAUAGUAUUGUCAUUAUAAGGUGGCCUUUCAUGGUGUCCUGCUCAAGGAAAAGCUAAUUCAUUUCAGUUUCAAAGCUUCGACUCUCCACCCUAAAUAAGAAUCAAUAUAACAUAUCUGACACUCGCUUGCAGUAAAUAUACAAUCACCAUUAAAAGAACUCCAGAAUAAACAUAGAAUUUACAAGUAAAAGAACUUCAUACCCAACCUAAACAAUAAUU
rnacentral:lncRNA from 1 species